UUGGAGGUGGUAUUGGUGGUGGUCUCGGUGGUGGUAUUGGAGGUGGGCUGCCUGAUCUCGGUGGCACAGGCGGUGGGAUUGGUGGAUUAGGUGGUUUGGGAGGAGAUACAGGGAGCGGUGGAGGUCUUGGUGGUGCUAUUGGUGGUGGUGGGAUUGGCGGUGGUCAAGGUGGUUGUGCUGAUGGUGGUGCUGGCUCUAUCCUUAACCCUUGAUUCCAUUUCAUGGGAUUUUUUAUGUUUAGUGUUUCUGUUGCAUGCAGAUGCAGUUAGUACAUGUGUUUAGUUACUUUUCUGUUUUAUUCACUGU
rnacentral:lncRNA from 1 species